UCACUUUUCCACAGAGGGUCAUAUUAGUGUGUAGCCCGAACUGUUCGGACAUUACUGACAGAAGUUGGCAGAUUCGCUACACGAACUUCAGACUAGUCCAAAGAUGCUUGUGGGGGUCGUAGAACAAACCGUUCGGACGCUACAGACGAUUUUGUGAGAAAACCGUUUUUCAGGAUGUCUCAUGGUCCUGUGGAAAAACAUAACAAUCAACUUAAAGAAGACAAAUGUUGCUCGUGGGGAGUGUUUUAAGACUGAGGCAGAUGAUCACCAUAGCUUGGAGGGGAUAAGACAGGAUGAAGGUCAGCUCACUACAUCUGCAGCAGCCAGGAGGGAAGAUUGUGUCACUAACAUGGGCUGCAGGACAAAGACAAAGAGGCUGUGAG